GACAAACGCUGGCGGCGUGCGUAACACAUGCAAGUCGAACGCACCAGGCAACUGGUGAGUGGCGGACGGGUGAGGAACACGUGGAUGACCUGUCCCGACGUGGGGGAUACCUUUCAGAAAUGGGGGUUAAUCCCGCAUACGUCCGCCCCCUGCAGAGGGGGUGGGGAAAGUCUUCGGCAACGAGGGCGCGUUGGGAGGGGUCCGCGGCCGAUUAGCUAGUUGGUGUGGUAAGAGCGCACCAAGGCUGCGAUCGGUAGCUGGUCUGAGAGGAUGAUCA
rnacentral:rRNA from 1 species